rnacentral:lncRNA from 1 species
GCCCAAUAAAAAUUGCCGACGACCAGACCCAUAAGUCUUUUUAGGCUAAACGUUAAUUCCAUUGUUUUCAGCAAUCUGAUGGUUCAGUUGCCUUUUGGCUGAUUGGCCAAUCGUAUGUGGAAGUUGGGAAAGAGAUGGGCAGAGCCGGAAUCGUGAGUCUGUAUCCACAGGGUGGUGGUUUCACCCCCUUAGCACAACCUAGAAGAGCACUAAGCAAAGCACGCCAACGCCAGCAGAUCUGAGUGAGAGAUGACUGGCAUGCAGCCCUCCAGGGGAUGAGUUCGAGGGAGGUAGUUCUCUGCUCUGGUGUUAAAGAAACAUCCUCAGAUGACAGAAGAAAUAGGAAGCAGAAUGUGGAUUAAACAGGAAGUUUUAAUAUGCUUUUCAAGCAGUUCUUCAAUGCUCCGCCUCCUGACCUCCAUGUUCCUUUCUGUGGCACUGCUCAGGUGCAAGCUUAGGCUCCUGCCACUUUUGCUGGCCAUCCCUCGUCCCUCUGUAGCUGUUGCAGCUGCAGGACCCGUGAGUGAACCUGGCCAGGCGUUUUCCAGUCUCCAGCAGCCUGGUCCAUUUCCUGCUCCUGAACUGUGCAAUGCCCUUUUGUGUCAGUCACAGGCCUCCUUUUCCGGCUUCCCUUUUCAUAUCCCUGUGCAGCUGGACAGUCGUACCCUUUUGCGUAGCCACUUCCUUGGCUUUGUUUUUGCUCCGCUCUGCAGCUGGGCAUUAGUGUUCUUCUGGGCUAUAUAUUUCCUAACUAAAUGGCGUGUUUCUGCUUGUCUGAGCUUCAUGGGUGCUUAAUGAAUAUCACUCCUUUUUUCAGUGGCAGAAAUGUGAUUCGUUCUUUGCUCAUUUUAUAUGUCUUCCAGCUAAAAUAUUUUUUGCACACCAGCUCUAAAAUGGAGAAUAAAUAUUUUAGUACUAGGCA